GAUGAACGCUGGCGGCGUGCUUAACACAUGCAAGUCGAACGAAGAUGCCGGAGUGCUUGCACUUUGGCAGACUGAGUGGCGGACGGGUGAGUAACGCGUGGGUAACCUGCCUUAUACAGGGGGAUAACAGUUGGAAACGACUGCUAAUACCGCAUAAGCGCACGGUAUCGCAUGAUACAGUGUGAAAAACUCCGGUGGUAUAAGAUGGACCCGCGUCUGAUUAGCUUGUUGGUGAGGUAACGGCCCACCAAGGCGACGAUCAGUAGCCGGCCUGAGAGGGUGAACGGCCACAUUGGGACUGAGACACGGCCCAGACUCCUACGGGAGGCAGCAGUGGGGGAUAUUGCACAAUGGGGGAAACCCUGAUGCAGCGACGCCGCGUGGAGGAAGAAGGUCUUCGGGAUUGUAAACUCCUGUUGUUGAGGAAGAUAAUGACGGUACUCAACAAGGAAGUGACGGCUAACUACGUG
rnacentral:rRNA from 1 species